UGGUGGGGUAAAGGCCUACCAUGGCGACGAUCUGUAGCUGGUCUGAGAGGAUGAUCAGCCACACCGGGACUGAGACACGGCCCGGACUCCUACGGGAGGCAGCAGUGGGGAAUAUUGGACAAUGGGGGCAACCCUGAUCCAGCCAUGCCGCGUGUGUGAAGAAGGCCUUUUGGUUGUAAAGCACUUUAAGCAGUGAAGAAGACUCCAUGGUUAAUACCCAUGGACGAUGACAUUAGCUGCAGAAUAAGCACCGGCUAACUCUGUGCCAGCAGCCGCGGUAAUACAGAGGGUGCAAGCGUUAAUCGGAAUUACUGGGCGUAAAGCGAGCGUAGGUGGCUUGAUAAGUCAGAUGUGAAAGCCCCGGGCUUAACCUGGGAACGGCAUCUGAUACUGUUAGGCUAGAGUAGGUGAGAGGAAGGUAGAAUUCCAGGUGUAGCGGUGAAAUGCGUAGAGAUCUGGAGGAAUACCGAUGGCGAAGGCAGCCUUCUGGCAUCAUACUGACACUGAGGUUCGAAAGCGUGGGUAGCAAACAGGAUUAGAUACCCUGGUAGUCCACGCCGUAAACGAUGUCUACUAGUCGUUGGGUCCCUUGAGGACUUAGUGACGCAGCUAA
rnacentral:rRNA from 1 species